AUUGAACGCUGGCGGCAGGCCUAACACAUGCAAGUCGAGCGGAGCGGCGGACGGGUGAGUACUGCCUAGUAAUCUGCCUGGUAUUGGGGGAUAACGUCCGGACACGGGAGCUAAUACCGCAUACUAUCAGAUACGCCUAGGUCGGAUUAGCUACGGGGUGGGGUAACUGCCUAACAAGGCGACGAUCCGUACCUGGUCUGAGAGGAUGAUCAGUCACACUGGAACGGAGACACGGUCCAGACUCCUACGGGAGGCAGCAGUGGGGAAUAUUGGACAAUGGGCGAAAGACAGAUCCAGCCAGGCCGCGUGUGUGAAGAAGGUAGUCGGAUUGUAAAGCACUUUAAGUUGGGAGGCGUUACCAACAGAAUAAGCACCGGCUAACUUCGUGCCAGCAGCCGCGGUAAUUC
rnacentral:rRNA from 1 species